ACCGCACACAAGUCUGUUGGAAUACAGCGGCACAGUGGUGAGACCCCCGUAUACGGUGCGGAUGCCCAAUGCUUUGUGAUACACUUUCGAAGAGUCGAGUUGUUUGGGAAUGCAGCUCAAAUUGGGUGGUAAAUUCCAUCUAAAGCUAAAUAUUGGCGAGAGACCGAUAGCGAACAAGUACCGUGAGGGAAAGAUGAAAAGCACUUUGGAAAGAGAGUUAACAGUACGUGAAAUUGUUGGAAGGGAAACGCUUGAAGUCAGACUUGCUAUUCGGGUUUACUCGAGUUGCAGGCCAGCAUCAGUUUUCUGGGGUGGAAAAUCACGGUUUGAAGGUAGCAACUUCGGUUGUGUUAUAGCUUUCCGUUGGAUACAUCCUGGGGGACUGAGGAUCGCAGUGUGCUUUUAGCAGGAGCUUCGGCUUCAUCACACUUAGGAUGCUGGUGUAAUGGCUUUAAACGACCCGUCUUGAACCACG
rnacentral:rRNA from 1 species